rnacentral:rRNA from 1 species
AGAGUUUGAUCAUGGCUCAGAACGAACGUUGGCGGCGUGCUUAACACAUGCAAGUCGAACGAGAACGGUUUCUUCGGAGACCUAGUAAAGUGGCGCACGGGUGAGUAACGCGUAGAUAACCUGUCCAGGUGUUCGGGAUAGCCCUUCGAAAGGGGGAUUAAUACCGGAUACGUUAGUUUGUCAUAAGACAGAUUAAGAAAGGUGGCCUCUAUUUAUAAGCUAUCGCAUUUGGAGGGGUCUGCGUACCAUUAGUUUGUUGGUGGGGUAAUGGCCUACCAAGACUUCGAUGGUUAGCGGGUCUGAGAGGAUGAUCCGUCACACUGGCACUGAAACACGGGCCAGACUCCUACGGGAGGCAGCAGUGAGGAAUAUUGCGCAAUGGGGGAAACCCUGACGCAGCGACGCCGCGUGGGUGAGGAAGGCUUUCGGGUCGUAAAGCCCUGUCAGAAGGGAAGAAAUGUGUAGUGGUUAAUAUCCAUUGCACUUGACGGUACCUUCAAAGGAAGCACCGGCUAACUCCGUGCCAGCAGCCGCGGUAAUACGGAGGGUGCAAACGUUGUUCGGAAUCACUGGGCGUAAAGGGCGCGCAGGCGGUUUGAUUAGUCAGAUG